rnacentral:rRNA from 1 species
GACGAACGCUGGCGGCGUGCCUAAUACAUGCAAGUCGAGCGAAGCGGCUGAUGGGUGAGUAACUCGUGGGUAACAUGCCCUUAAGUCUGGGAUACCAUCUGGAAACAGCUGCCAAUACCGGAUACUAAAGGAUGGACCUGCGAUGCAUUAGCUAGUUGGUCAGGUAACGGCUUACCAAGGCGAUGAUGCAUAGCCGAGUUGAGAGACUGAUCGGCCACAUUGGGACUGAGACACGGCCCAAACUCCUACGGGAGGCAGCAGUAGGGAAUCUUCGACAAUGGACGAAAGUCUGAUGGAGCAACGCCGCGUGAGUGAAGAAGGUUUUCGGAUCGUAAAGCUCUGUUGUUGGUGAAGCGGUAAUCAACCAGAAAGUCACGGCUAACUACGUGCCAGCAGCCGCGGUAAUAC